GCCCCACUGGCGCAAUGGCUAGCGCGUUUGACUUCUACUUAGGAGGCAUCAAGAGGUUGCGAGUUCGAGUCUCGCGUGGGGUU